rnacentral:rRNA from 1 species
AGAUGCGAUCGUACCAGCACUAAAGCACCGGAUCCCAUCAGAACUCCGAAGUUAAGCUUGUGUGGGCGGGAGUAGCACUAGGAUGGGUGACCUUCUGGGAAGUCCUCGUGUUGCAUGCC